GGUUCCAUAGCGUAGCGGUUAGUACAUCUGCUUUACAUGCAGAAAGUCCUGGGUUCCUGCCCCCGUGGAGCCA
rfam:Pteropus alecto contig166599, whole genome shotgun sequence.